AGCAGCCGCGGUAAUUCCAGCUCCAAUAGCGUAUAUUAAAGUUGUUGCAGUUAAAAAGCUCGUAGUUGAAUUUCGGGAUUGACACAUCGGUCGUGCCUUAAGGGGUAUGAACUGGUGUAGUCAAUUUCUCACCUUCUGGAGAACCGCGAUGCCCUUAAUUGGGUGUCACGGGGAACCAGGACCUUUACUUUGAAAAAUUAGAGUGUUUAAAGCAGGCAUUUUGCUUGAAUACAUUAGCAUGGAAUAAUAAAAUAGGACGGCAUGAUUCUAUUUUGUUGGUUUCUAGGAUCACCGUAAUGAUUAAUAGGGAUAGUUGGGGGCAUUAGUAUUCAAUUGUCAGAGGUGAAAUUCUUGGAUUUAUUGAAGACUAACUACUGCGAAAGCAUUUGCCAAGGAUGUUUUCAUUAAUCAAGAACGAAAGUUAGGGGAUCGAAGACGAUCAGAUACCGUCGUAGUCUUAACCAUAAACUAUGCC
rnacentral:rRNA from 1 species